AGUCGUAACUGGGUUUCCCGUAGGGUGAACCUGCGGAAGGAUAUUGUCGUGACCCUUAAACAAAAUAGACCGCGAACGUGUCAUCCAUGUCGCGCGGGCAUCCGCUCGCGCUUGGCCCCCGACCUUCUUUUCGAGGGGGAGGGGCCACAAAAGAACCCACGGCGCCGAAGGCGUCAAGGAACACUGAUAUUGCCUUGCUCGGGGCUGCGGUUGGCUUGCUGAUCGCACCCUGUGCAGCGAUGCUAUCUUAAUCCACACGACUCUCGGCAACGGAUAUCUCGGCUCUCGCAUCGAUGAAGAACGUAGCAAAAUGCGAUACCUGGUGUGAAUUGCAGAAUCCCGCGAACCAUCGAGUUUUUGAACGCAAGUUGCGCCCGAGGCCUUCUGGCUGAGGGCACGCCUGCCUGGGCGUCACGCCAAAAGACACUCCCAACCCAUCCAUGGGGAAGGACGUGGUGUUUGGCUCACCGUGCCGUAGGGUGCGGCGGGCCGAAGUUGGGGCUGCCGGCAUAAGUUGUCGGGCACCGCACGUGGUGGGCGACUCUCAGUUGUUCUCGGUGUAGUGUCUCGGCAUGGAGCUGGUUCAUUGGCCCUAAGGACCCAUACAUGACCGAAGCGCUCUGUCGCUCGGACCGCGACCCCAGGUCAGGCGGGACUACCCGCUGAGUUUAAGCAUA
rnacentral:rRNA from 1 species